ACGAACGCUGGCGGCGUGCCUAAUACCUGCAAGUUGAGCGCUGAAGGUUGGUACUUGUACCAACUGGAUGAGCAGCGAACGGGUGAGUAACGCGUGGGGAAUCUGCCUUUGAGCGGGGGACAACAUUUGGAAACGAAUGCUAAUACCGCAUAAAAACUUUAAACACAAGUUUUAAGUUUGAAAGAUGCAAUUGCAUCACUCAAAGAUGAUCCCGCGUUGUAUUAGCUAGUUGGUGAGGUAAAGGCUCACCAAGGCGAUGAUACAUAGCUGACCUGAGAGGGUGAUCGGCCACAUUGGGACUGAGACACGGCCCAAACUCCUACGGGAGGCAGCAGUAGGGAAUCUUCGGCAAUGGACGAAAGUCUGACCGAGCAACGCCGCGUGAGUGAAGAAGGUUUUCGGAUCGUAAAACUCUGUUGGUAGAGAAGAACGUUGGUGAGAGUGGAAAGCUCAUCAAGUGACGGUAACUACCCAGAAAGGGACGGCUAACUACGUG
rnacentral:rRNA from 1 species